AGCAGCCGCGGUAAUUCCAGCUCCAAUAGCGUAUAUUAAAGUUGUUGCAGUUAAAAAGCUCGUAGUUGAAUUUCGGGAUCAAUAUGUUGGUCGUGCCUUGGUACGUACUGGCAUUAUUGGUUUCUACCUUCUGAAGAACCUCGAUGUCAUUAAUUUGGUGUCUUGGGGAAUCAGGACUGUUACUUUGAAAAAUUAGAGUGUUUAAAGCAGGCUCGCGCUUGAAUACAUUAGCGUGGAAUAAUGAAAUAGGACGUUUGAUUCUAUUUUGUUGGUUUCUAGGAUCGACGUAAUGAUUAAUAGGGAUAGUUGGGGGCAUUAGUAUUCAAUUGUCAGAGGUGAAAUUCUUGGAUUUAUUGAAGACUAACUACUGCGAAAGCAUUUGCCAAGGAUGUUUUCAUUAAUCAAGAACGAAAGUUAGGGGAUCGAAGACGAUCAGAUACCGUCGUAGUCUUAACCAUAAACUAUGCCGACUAGGGAUCGGAUGAUGUUAAAUUUUUUUAAUGUACUCAUUCGGCGCCUU
rnacentral:rRNA from 1 species